rnacentral:rRNA from 1 species
GACGAACGCUGGCGGCGUGCUUAACACAUGCAAGUCGAACGGAAAGGCCCUGCUUUUGUGGGGUGCUCGAGUGGCGAACGGGUGAGUAACACGUGAGUAACCUGCCCUUGACUUUGGGAUAACUUCAGGAAACUGGGGCUAAUACCGGAUAGGAGCUCCUGCUGCAUGGUGGGGGUUGGAAAGUUUCGGCGGUUGGGGAUGGACUCGCGGCUUAUCAGCUUGUUGGUGGGGUAGUGGCUUACCAAGGCUUUGACGGGUAGCCGGCCUGAGAGGGUGACCGGCCACAUUGGGACUGAGAUACGGCCCAGACUCCUACGGGAGGCAGCAGUGGGGAAUAUUGCACAAUGGGCGGAAGCCUGAUGCAGCAACGCCGCGUGCGGGAUGACGGCCUUCGGGUUGUAAACCGCUUUCGCCUGUGACGAAGCGUGAGUGACGGUAAUGGGUAAAGAAGCACCGGCUAACUACGUGCCAGCAGCCGCGGUGAUACGUAGGGUGCGAGCGUUGUCCGGAUUUAUUGGGCGUAAAGGGUUCGUAGGUGGUUGAUCGCGUCGGAAGUGUAAUCUUGGGGCUUAACCCUGAGCGUGCUUUCGAUACGGGUUGACUUGAGGAAGGUAGGGGAGAAUGGAAUUCCUGGUGGAGCGGUGGAAUGCGCAGAUAUCAGGAGGAACACCAGUGGCGAAGGCGGUUCUCUGGGCCUUUCCUGACGCUGAGGAGCGAAAGCGUGGGGAGCGAACAGGCUUAGAUACCCUGGUAGUCCACGCUGUAAACGGUGGGUACUAGGUGUGGGGUCCAUUCCACGGGUUCCGUGCCGUAGCUAACGCUUUAAGUACCCCGCCUGGGGAGUACGGCCGCAAGGCUAAAACUCAAAGGAAUUGACGGGGCCCCGCACAAGCGGCGGAGCAUGCGGAUUAAUUCGAUGCAACGCGUAGAACCUUACCUGGGUUUGACAUGGAUCGGGAGUGCUCAGAGAUGGGUGUGCCUCUUUUGGGGUCGGUUCACAGGUGGUGCAUGGCUGUCGUCAGCUCGUGUCGUGAGAUGUUGGGUUAAGUCCCGCAACGAGCGCAACCCUUGUUCACUGUUGCCAGCACGUUAUGGUGGGGAUUCAGUGGAGACCGCCGGGGUCAACUCGGAGGAAGGUGGGGAUGACGUCAAGUCAUCAUGCCCCUUAUGUCCAGGGCUUCACGCAUGCUACAAUGGCUGGUACAGAGAGUGGCGAGCCUGUGAGGGUGAGCGAAUCUCGGAAAGCCGGUCUCAGUUCGGAUUGGGGUCUGCAACUCGACCUCAUGAAGUCGGAGUCGCUAGUAAUCGCAGAUCAGCAACGCUGCGGUGAAUACGUUCCCGGG